GAUGAACGCUGGCGGCGUGCCUAAUACAUGCAAGUCGAGCGAACGGACGAGAAGCUUGCUUCUCUGAUGUUAGCGGCGGACGGGUGAGUAACACGUGGAUAACCUACCUAUAAGACUGGGAUAACUUCGGGAAACCGUAGCUAAUACCGGAUAAUAUUUUGAACCGCAUGGUUCAAAAGUGAAAGACGGUCUAGCUGUCACUUAUAGAUGGAUCCGCGCUGCAUUAGCUAGUUGGUAAGGUAACGGCUUACCAAGGCAACGAUGCAUAGCCGACCUGAGAGGGUGAUCGGCCACACUGGAACUGAGACACGGUCCAGACUCCUACGGGAGGCAGCAGUAGGGAAUCUUCCGCAAUGGGCGAAAGCCUGACGGAGCAACGCCGCGUGAGUGAUGAAGGUCUUCGGAUCGUAAAACUCUGUUAUUAGGGAAGAACAUAUGUGUAAGUAACUGUGCACAUCUUGACGGUACCUAAUCAGAAAGCCACGGCUAACUACGUGCCAGCAGCCGCGGUAAUACGUAGGUGGCAAGCGUUAUCCGGAAUUAUUGGGCGUAAAGCGCGCGUAGGCGGUUUUUUAAGUCUGAUGUGAAAGCCCACGGCUCAACCGUGGAGGGUCAUUGGAAACUGGAAAACUUGAGUGCAGAAGAGGAAAGUGGAAUUCCAUGUGUAGCGGUGAAAUGCGCAGAGAUAUGGAGGAACACCAGUGGCGAAGGCGACUUUCUGGUCUGUAACUGACGCUGAUGUGCGAAAGCGUGGGGAUCAAACAGGAUUAGAUACCCUGGUAGUCCACGCCGUAAACGAUGAGUGCUAAGUGUUAGGGGGUUUCCGCCCCUUAGUGCUGCAGCUAACGCAUUAAGCACUCCGCCUGGGGAGUACGACCGCAAGGUUGAAACUCAAAGGAAUUGACGGGGACCCGCACAAGCGGUGGAGCAUGUGGUUUAAUUCGAAGCAACGCGAAGAACCUUACCAAAUCUUGACAUCCUUUGACAACUCUAGAGAUAGAGCCUUCCCCUUCGGGGGACAAAGUGACAGGUGGUGCAUGGUUGUCGUCAGCUCGUGUCGUGAGAUGUUGGGUUAAGUCCCGCAACGAGCGCAACCCUUAAGCUUAGUUGCCAUCAUUAAGUUGGGCACUCUAAGUUGACUGCCGGUGACAAACCGGAGGAAGGUGGGGAUGACGUCAAAUCAUCAUGCCCCUUAUGAUUUGGGCUACACACGUGCUACAAUGGACAAUACAAAGGGCAGCGAAACCGCGAGGUCAAGCAAAUCCCAUAAAGUUGUUCUCAGUUCGGAUUGUAGUCUGCAACUCGACUACAUGAAGCUGGAAUCGCUAGUAAUCGUAGAUCAGCAUGCUACGGUGAAUACGUUCCCGGGUCU
rnacentral:rRNA from 1 species